rnacentral:rRNA from 1 species
AUUGAACGCUGGCGGCAGGCCUAACACAUGCAAGUCGAGCGGAGCGGCGGACGGGUGAGUAAUGCCUAGGAAUCUGCCUGGUAGUGGGGGAUAACGUCCGGACACGGGUGCUAAUACCGCAUACUAUCAGAUGAGCCUAGGUCGGAUUAGCUAGUUGGUGGUGUAAAGUCCUACCAAGGCGACGAUCCGUAACUGGUCUGAGAGGAGGAUCAGUCACAGUGGAACUGAGACAUGGUCCAGACUCCUUCGGUAGGUAGCAGUGGGGACUAUUGGACAUUGGGCGAAAGCCCGAUACAGCCAGUCCGCGUGUGUGAAGAAGGUCUUCGGAUUUUAAAGCACUUUAAGUUGGGAGGCGUUACCAUCAGAAUAUGCACCGGCUAACUUCGUGCCAGCAGCCGCGGUAAUUC